CAUCUGGGUUCAUGGCCUGAAAAAAAAAUGAUGAUGAAAAUCAAAAAAUUUUUUCUUACAUUCGUGAAAUAUGAAAAUGAACAAUUUACGUAUUAAAUGAAUCGCAAAUGAAGAGAUGAAAUAAAAAUGAGAAGAAGAAACAUAUCAAAAAACACGCACACAAAUUAUAUUUUUGACAAUAUGUACAAGUAAGGUAUGUAUGAUCAUAAUAUGGAGAAUUAGAUUGCGAUUAUUCGGACUAUGGUGCCUAUUUUUAUUCGAUAGGUAAGUAAUAUUAAGAAAAGCAUAGAGGUCGAGGUCUUGGCAUUCUCCCUCGGUGAAUAAAUUUGACAUUUUAAUUCCCUCACGUUAAUUUUAGCGAUCGAAUUUAAACAUGAUAACUCAAACGUCGACGAUUACUGAACUUGUUUAUCAUUAAAAGAAAGUUAUUUGCUGAAAAUGAACAAUUUUAUCAAUUAUAUAGCUUUGAUAAGUAGAUAAAUAAAUUAAUUUUCUUUGGGAAAUUAACGAUUAAUGGCUCGGAACAAAUUGUACUUGAGUAAUAUUAUUUAUGUAAUUAUGUACCUAUGUACUUUUUAUAAUUCAAGAAUUGAGAUAAGCUUACUUACAUGAUGCACACCAAAGGAAAUAGGAACAUUGUAACGCCAAGUUGAUAAAGCAGUUGUGCCCAUCAUGUAAGGACUCAUGCCAUGAUAGCCAUUUCGGAAUGAAAUUAUUUCAAAAUUUUUGGUGUAUAAACGAGCAAGGAAUAAAGCCAAAUCAUUUGCCUCAGAUCCACUAUUUACAAAAUAGACAACCUGUAAGAAAAAAAUAUAUAGGUAUAUUAACAUUUAUGUGCAUCAGUUCUCAGUCAGAGUAACUAAAUAAGUAUCUCUCAACAUAGGUAGGUACCUAAUACCUAUGUACUACAGUUCUACGAACACGGGAUAGGAUAGAAGGACCUCCAAAUUCAAGGCACUCAUGUUUGUAUAAAUUUACUUAAGGAUUUUUUGUCCCCUGUUGGACAUUUUACGUUUACUCUACAGAUUCGAGUAUCGAAUCAUCAUCAAAAUACAAAUUCAAUUGGCUGAAGACAGGCGAUACCCUUUGAAGCACGAAGAAGGAGACAUCUUAAUUUUUUUUAUUCUUGCCACACCUGAGUUCAGUAUGGUUGAAAAUUUGAAAUUAUUUUUAAUUUAUCUAUUAAAAAUUGCAAUCCAAAAUUGGUAGUUUGUUUGCUUUAGUUAGGUAGUUAAUUUUCAUUUUUUAUUUAAAUUAGUUUUUUUCCUCCAGUGCCUCAAAAGAGCACGUAAUACUUUGAAAACUUCCACGACAUUUUCCCAUUCGAUAUCGGUUUAUAAUGAUUAUUCGGAUGAGCAAGCGAUUGUAAUAAUAAAUAAAAUCACACGCUUGAAAAUUAUGCAUUAAUUCUUCGAAAUAAAAUUAAUCUCGAUAAAGAUUUUCUUAUCUAAGUACACAUUUACGUAUUGCCCAUAGGUGCUCAAAUUAACAUUUUAAAAAUACGUAUUUUUCUUAUUAAAUACCUGUAUCGAUGACGUCUUUCUUCUAAAAUUAUCAAAUUUUCGUGAUAGUACCUAACACGUGAAACACCCAAUUUUGUUUACUUCAAUGUAUAGCCAAAUUCAAAAUUUUUAUAGCCUAUUUCAAAUUGGUAAACCCUGGUAAACCUAUGCAUCAUAUUUUAAAUAUGGAGGAUCAA